UUGAACGCUGGCGGCAUGCCUUACACAUGCAAGUCGAACGGCAGCACGGGAGCAAUCCUGGUGGCGAGUGGCGAACGGGUGAGUAAUAUAUCGGAACGUGCCCAGUCGUGGGGGAUAACGUAGCGAAAGCUACGCUAAUACCGCAUACGAUCUAUGGAUGAAAGCGGGGAUCGCAAGACCUCGCGCGAUUGGAGCGGCCGAUAUCAGAUUAGGUAGUUGGUGAGGUAAAGGCUCACCAAGCCGACGAUCUGUAGCUGGUCUGAGAGGACGACCAGCCACACUGGGACUGAGACACGGCCCAGACUCCUACGGGAGGCAGCAGUGGGGAAUUUUGGACAAUGGGCGCAAGCCUGAUCCAGCAAUGCCGCGUGCAGGAUGAAGGCCUUCGGGUUGUAAACUGCUUUUGUACGGAACGAAACGGUGAGCUCUAAUACAGUUUGCUAAUGACGGUACCGUAAGAAUAAGCACCGGCUAACUACGUG
rnacentral:rRNA from 1 species